rnacentral:rRNA from 1 species
AGAAUCAACGCUGGCGGCGUGCCUAACACAUGCAAGUCGAACGAGAAAGGGUAGCAAUACCUGAGUAAAGUGGCGCACGGGUGAGUAACACGUGACUAACCUACCCUGGAGUGGGGGAUAACUGAGGGAAACCUUAGCUAAUACCGCAUAAUACCUACGGGUCAAAGGAGCAAUUCGCUUCAGGAGGGGGUCGCGGCCGAUUAGUUAGUUGGCGGGGUAAUGGCCCACCAAGACGAUGAUCGGUAUCCGGCCUGAGAGGGCGCACGGACACACUGGAACUGAAACACGGUCCAGACUCCUACGGGAGGCAGCAGUGGGGAAUUUUGCGCAAUGGGGGAAACCCUGACGCAGCAACGCCGCGUGGAGGAUGAAGUCCUUGGGACGUAAACUCCUUUCGAUCGGGACGAUUAUGACGGUACCGGAAGAAGAAGCCCCGGCUAACUUCGUGCCAGCAGCCGC